UAUUUGCAUGCCUCCAGCGACAGUGUCUGGGAGUGGGAAGUCUCAGCUCCUGCAUCGGGGGUGUGUGUCUUUUCUCAUUUUCUCUCUCAUUCUCUCUACAGAUCAAACAUUCCCCAAAGGCUGGUAGAAGCAGGAGGAAUGACACUUGCUAAUUUGAAUUUCAGAAAACACCUAAACCACUUUCUGAUCUUCAGAUUUUGUUUAGGUGCUAAGCAAAUUAAAAGUAAUGCUUACCUGGAUUUUAGAAUAACAUAUGGACUGAAGUGUCUCUUUGUUAUGGGGCCAUCAAACAGACGGUGAAUGAGUGAGCUAAGUGUUUCUGAAUUUCCUGGGCGGAUGCAUCACUGUGACAUGCUGAAUCUGGUUUUAUCAGUUUUAUUGCAUUUAAGCUAUUCUAAAUGCAGCUUGAGGGCUGGUGGUGACACAGAUAACGCAGGAUUCCAGCUGUUGCAAUGCUUGGAGUGCAAGCACUAUUUGUCCAGCCGUGAGACUGAGAUUUUGGUAAGAGGACACAUUUCUUUGUUAGUUGAACAAAACACAGAGAGGCUUUCACAACACCUACGUGUUCAUUCUUGUUCCAGAAACUCUGAUGAGCCAGAAAUAUUUGUUGCAAUGUGAAAUGUUCUGUGAGAUAAUGAUAGCUUUGCAGAAAUCUGGAAAUACGUAUUGCAGCAAGAGCUUCUUUUUUCAUGAUCUUACAUUUAUAGAUAUGUACAGUUCAGCAUUACUUAACAAAG
rnacentral:lncRNA from 1 species